rnacentral:rRNA from 1 species
CCCCUAGAUGUUCUGGGCCGCACGCGCGCUACACUGAACAGUUCAACAAGUCUUAACCUUGGCCGAUAGGUCUGGGUGAUCUUUGAACGCUGUUCGUGAUUGGGAUAGACCUUUGCAAUUAUGGGUCUUCAACGAGGAAUUCCUAGUAAACGCAAGUCAUCAGCUUGCAUUGAUUACGUCCCUGCCCUUUGUACACACCGCCCGUCGCACCUACCGAUUGAAUGGUCCGGUGAAAUCUCGGGACGGCGGCUUGGUCGCUUGCGUCCGACUGCUGAAACUUGAUUAAACCAUAUCAUUUAGAGGAAGGUGAAGUCGUAACA